AUAAACUCUAUUGUUUUUUUUUUCUCUUUGAUUAAUCAGACCUCAUACUACAUCCUUGAGUUAUGGAUUCUAGAUCAUUUCUGUCCUAAAUGAGAUUACCCCAUCUAAUCAAGUACAGGCGAGACAUCAAUAACUACAAUUAUGUAGCGCUCGAAAUGAUUUUAUUAAACUAAUUAUAUUUUAAGUAUGUCCGCAAAAACAAAACAAUUGGAGGAAGAUUGGAGACAUCAAUAACUACAAUUAUGUAGCGUUCGAAAUGAUUUUAUUAAACUAAUUAUAUUUUAAGUAUGUCCGCAAAAACUAAUUAUAUUUUAAGUAUCCUACCCCCCCCC
rnacentral:lncRNA from 1 species